GUAUUCGGCUGGGGCACUCUAAAGGGACUGCCGGUGUUAAACCGGAGGAAGGUGGGGAUGACGUCAAGUCCUCAUGGCCUUUAUGACCAGGGCUACACACGUACUACAAUGGCCGAUACAAAGGGCAGCGACACUGCGAGGUGAAGCCAAUACCCGUAAAAUCGGUCUCAGUCCGGAUCGCAGUCUGCAACUCGACUGCGUGAAGUCGGAAUCGCUAGUAAUCGUGAAUCAGAAUGUCACGGUGAAUACGUUCCCGGGCCUU
rnacentral:rRNA from 1 species